UACGUAGGGCGCAAGCGUUGUCCGGAAUUACUGGGCGUAAAGCGUGCGCAGGCGGUUCGUUGUGUCGGCGGUGAAAGCCCCGGGCUUAACCUGGGAAUGGCCGUUGAAACUGGCGAACUGGAGUGUGGCAGAGGGGGGUGGAAUUCCGCGUGUAGCAGUGAAAUGCGUAGAGAUGCGGAGGAACACCGAUGGCGAAGGCAGCCCCCUGGGCUAACACUGACGCUCAGGCACGAAAGCGUGGGGAGCAAACAGG
rnacentral:rRNA from 1 species